UACGUAGGGGGCGAGCGUUGUCCGGAUUUAUUGGGCGUAAAGAGCUCGUAGGCGGUUUGGUAAGUCGGGUGUGAAAUCUCCACGCUCAACGUGGAGGGGCCACUCGAUACUGCCAUGACUCGAGUCCGGUAGAGGAGUGUGGAAUUCCCGGUGUAGCGGUGGAAUGCGUAGAGAUCCGGAAGAACACCAAUGGCGAAGGCAAUGUUCUGGCUCGUUUCUGACGCUCAGGUGCGAAAGCCAGGGGAGCGAACGGG
rnacentral:rRNA from 1 species